AGGGUUUGAUCCUGGCUCAGAACGAACGUUGGCGGCGUGGAUGAGGCAUGCAAGUCGAACGCGAAAGCCUUCGGGCAAGUAGCGUGGCGGACGGGUGAGUAACACGUAAUCAAGCUACCUGACAGACAGGGAUAACUUCGGGAAACCGGAGACAAUACCUGAUGGUCUCACGGCAUCGCAUGUUGCUGUGUGUAAAUGGACGGGAUCCUUCGGGAUCGUCUGCUGUUAGAGGUGAUUGCGGCCCAUCAGCUAGUUGGUAGGGUAAUGGCCUACCAAGGCGACGACGGGUAGCCGGCCUAAGAGGGUGGUCGGUCACACUGGGACUGAGACACUGCCCAGACUCCUACGGGAGGCUGCAGUCGAGAAUCUUCCGCAAUGGACGAAAGUCUGACGGAGCGACGCCGCGUGGAGGACGAAGGCCUUCGGGUUGUAAACUCCUGUCACGAGUUAAGAAGUGUAUGCCAUUAAUACCGGUAUGCAUUGACGAAGGCUCGAGAGGAAGCACUGGCUAACUCUGUGCCAGCAGCCGCGGUAAUACAGAGAGUGCGAACGUUGUUCGGAAUUACUGGGCUUAAAGCGUACGUAGGCGGCGUAACAAGUGUCGGGUGAAAGCCCACGGCUCACCCGUGGAAUUGCCUGGCAAACUGUUAUGCUAGAGUGUGGUAGGGGAGAACAGAACUCAUGGUGGAGCGGUGAAAUGCGUAGAUAUCAUGAGGAAUACCGGUGGCGAAGGCGGUUCUCUGGUCCACAACUGACGCUGAGGUACGAAAGCUAGGGUAGCGAACGGGAUUAGAUACCCCGGUAGUCCUAGCCGUAAACGAUGGGUACUAGCUUGGGGGAUCCCUGUGUUCUUCCAGGUGAAGCAAAAGUGAUAAGUACCCCGCCUGGGGAGUAUGGUCGCAAGGCUGAAACUCAAAGGAAUUGACGGGGGCUCACACAAGCGGUGGAGCUCGUGCCUGGAUUGCUUGCGAUUUCAACUAUCAUUCAGUCGAGGUUCAGCUACAAUCCGGAUUGGGCUGGUAAGGGCGACUGAAGCGGGGAAGUGCUCAGGAUGUGAAUCUGCGCUUAUGC
rnacentral:rRNA from 1 species